UUGCUGAAGUGUCCCUUUAGAUUUGAUUACCAGAAAAAAAAUGUGCAAAAGGAUCAGAGAUGUAACCUUUACACAAUUUGGGGAUCUUGCAACUGAACAGUGACAUACAUUUAGCUAAAGAAUUUGCCAUUUCAAAUUAAAUGAAUCUUACGUGAAAAAAGUAAGGAAAUACAUUUUACUGCUAAGAUAUUAAGAAUGAGUUAUUUGUAAAGACUAAAAUUUUGAUAAUGGAUAAAAUGUACUCAGUAGAAGAGACAGUUCAAGAAAGCCAACAGCUUCAAAUUAUAGAGUAUUUAUCUAGUUGGUUUAAUUGAGACUAUGAAAUAAUCAAAGGGAACAACUAGAUGAAUAUAUUUUUUCAGGUGUAACAGCCAAGAAGACAAUUUAAGCACAUAGGAAUUUACUUUGAGAAGCCAUUUAUUUUAUAGCCUACAGACUCCAAAAGCUAACAUUUUCAGGAUGUUUUUAUACAGGUUGAGAGUUAUUUUUAUGAAACACAUAACUAAAUAAACUCUCAUCUAUUAUCUCGCCCAUACGUUUUAUGUACCCAGAUUACUGUAUUAGGACAUCCUGCUUUUGAUGAUAAUAUUCCUGAUGGACUGAAAGAUUGCAAAAGUUUCAAUGGGCAUGGUAUACUUUUUGUGUUAAAAUGUACCCUUUGAUAACUGAUGCUAUGGAAAACGCUAAGUAAACCAAAUAUUUAAUUACCUACAUCUAUCUACUCUAGUUUAUUGGCACACUACCAUAAGUUCAUUUUUCAAUUUUUUUUAAAUGCUUGAGUUUUAUAAAAGUUUAUUUUUAAUGAGUUAUUAUUUAAAAAUUAGAUUUCACAUAAAAAUAUGGAUUUUUGGUUUAUCUUAAAAACUAGAGACUCUUUCAGCAGAGUACCUAUCACCCUCUGGGGCCAUAUUCUGCCGGGACUGAAUAGGGGCUGCCCCCUUAGAUGGAGCAAGUGCUCUCCAGUCCUAAUCAUUCCCUGUUGUCCUUGUGAUAUUUUGGUCAAGUGGCUCAAGGUCACUUCAAAAGUUGACAUUACACUACCUGCCUGGAAGUCCCCUUGAUCUUUAGUCUAAUGUAAAAAUGUUUACAUACUUUCCUUAAGAGUUUUCCUUGCUACCCUACCCCGUUUGUAUAUCAUUUUCUUGUUCUAUAGGAAGCUGGACUCUUUAAAGAGUGCACAGAAUCUGAGAAGUGAGAAGGAGCUGCCAGGAACUCUCGGCUCCAUGAUGAAUAGAUCGAACUAAGUGACCUCUGGGCUCUCUGCCAGGCAUGGGAUUUCCCUUACCUAAGUAAAAGGUGUCCUGAAGGCAGGGCUAUAACCCUGGAGUCCAGCCUUCCCUUAGGAAUAGUAUGGCUAGAUAGGUCCUCCGCCCUAGAUAAUUACCUAAACUUUCCAUUUUAUCUUUUAUUUAAAACAAUGUGCUUAUCUAAACAAUAUUAGAAAAUGUUCAGAAUUUCUAUAAGAAAAAUUUUAAUUAUUUUCUGACUUCAACUUAAGUUUUAGAUUUUGAAUGAAAG